UUUCUUGUUCUCUGUCUUUCAGUUGUGAUAAAUCCCUACUUCUUCAGUUUCUGGCUCAUGUGAGGCCUGAGGAAGCCGAGUCUCUUUCUGGAGCUCUGGGUGAAGAGCUGGAUCUCAGUCAGACUCAGCUGGAUCCGCAGGUCUGUAGAGGUCUGGUCCUGAUUCUGGAAUAUUGUGAAGGACUGACAGAACUGGAUCUGAGUCAGUGUCGUCUCACUGAUCACAGUCUGGAUCUGCUGCUCCCAAACCUCCACAAAGUGCAAAACAUUGAUUUCAGUGGCAAUAACAUCACUGACGCUGGGGCUCAGAAAAUCCACAGUAUCGUCACUCGCAACAGUAACAUAAAGACAGUAAGACUCUUCAACAACAGAAUUGAAUCCAGAGAAAUCUUCAGCACAGACCCACGAUUUGAGAUCUGCUGAUGUAAACUCUCUCUGGAAUCAGAUGAAAUAACAAGUGGGAAAUAAUAAAGUAACAGGUGUAAAAGGUUUUGAAGAAUCUGCCCAUCAGAGUCCCAAAGAAAAAAAUAAGCCACCAUGAUUGUAAACCACAUUCAUUUUAUCAUCACUUUAAAUCAUAAUCAGCAGUGGGUUUCUGUUGCAUUAACUGUUGUUUUGCAAAAUGGCAAAAAAUCUGUC